rnacentral:misc_RNA from 1 species
GAGUCGCGGCUCAACUCACCGAGUUUACAGCUCACAACGUUGAAACGUAAAGAAACCCCAGCAAGCCGUUCUGCGACUUGACUCAGCUUACCACCAACCAACUUCAACCUCUCUUUCUCUUCCCCUCCAUUAUCAGCUACCGCUGUGAUCUUCACAAUGGAAGGCUUCCUAUUCAGACGCUCAGAUAGCGCGUGCAAAAGAUUUAUGUAUUGGCAUCCCUGGCCUACAUCGAAAUCGAUAACAUGAAGCCCGCUGCUGCUGGUGGGCUGGUCUACGGUAGCCUCAAGAAUUGCGAGAUUAGCAGCCAUAAACCCAAGUUUGAAACAAGGAGAGACUUCAUACAGUAACCGGGUCGACCCUAAAUGUUCCUUGCUAUACAGCUCCGCCACUG